ACUAGUUAAUAUUCCAAAGAUGAGUCAAUUGUGCAUACGCAGAAAUGAGUAUCUUAAGAUGACCACGACAUUCUUUCAAUUAUGCAUACCUUGUAAAUUCAUGAAGCAGUUAGAGACGCAGAUGUUUUAAUACUUUGACCCAAUUGUAAUAAAAAAACUCGUUCAGAAUUAAAUUAACCCCGACCAACUGUUCUCUUGUCGAUUUACAAAGUCAGGAUGGGCAAAAUGCUGAUAGAAACUCACAUCUCUAUGCACUCAAAACCAAUGGAGUGAACGUAUAACAACUAUUGUUGCGUGAUAAUUACCCGAUAGUUUGCGCCAAAUACCCAACGGGCAACAUGAGCAUACAAAUUAUUUCAUUAAUACUGUUGCAAAUCUGGGUACAAACAAUCUCAUCUUUUCCAACUAAUCCUAAGUUGAUGCCCCAACCGAUUGCAUCGUUACAAACAACGGAGCACGCCAUCACCUAUAACGAGUCUUGAAUCUCAUGGGCAAAAUGUUAAACCGGUAACUAAGCAGGAAAGUACAUAGAUAAAAUUCCUAAUUUUGGAAUUGUGGCAUCCUACUCUUUAAAACGACUAGAGUUCGGGAGGACUUUGACCUACAUAUUAUUACAUGCUUUUCUAAUGAGUAACAUUUUCUAGGAGGAGAAACCGAGAAUGUUAAAUGUCGAAAAGGACACGGAUUUUAAAUUAACGAGUAGUUAUCGGAAAUCCAAGCAGCAGAACUUCCCAAUGAUGAUUUACGGGGGCUGCUAUCCACCAGGCUUAUCAGCUUUUAAAGGAAACUCAUGGCCCACACCGAGACCGCCAUUAACCUUGGAAGAAAUACUUGUUUUCUGGAAAUACUUAUCGGGAAGAUCAGCCACACGACUUGCCGAUGGCGAUCCUCCUCUGAUAAACUUUAAUAAACCUAUAGAUGAAAAUUUUUUCUCAGCAGGACGCUGAAUGAAGUGGUUAAUUUGUUCUUACUCCAAGAUCGGAAAUAUAAUACAAGUGGUGUUAAUACAGGGCUAAGGUUUCAAAUGUACCGUCUUUCCCUCCGCAUUACUAACAUUCACCUAUGUAAAAUUUAUUUUAAAAUUAAAUAUGUGACAAGUCCUGAAAAUGUUUCGAAUUUUGUUGAAAAUGCAUCUUAUACGUGUACAUAUAUUGAAACUCGUUUGCAUACGGAUAUAUGUUACCUGAACAAUUUAAAAUAUUUAAUGACAUUUAUUUUUAAAAUGCUGAUUUUUGCAAAUACAA